GGCGAACGGGUGAGUAACGCGUGGAUAACCUGCCCUGAGGUGGGGAACAACCGAGGGAAACUUCGGCUAAUACCGCAUAACACCGAGAGGUCAAAGGGGGCUCGCAAGAGCUUCCGCCGCAGGAGGGGUCCGCGUCCGAUUAGCUAGUUGGUGGGGUAAUGGCCUACCAAGGCGACGAUCGGUAGCCGGCCUGAGAGGGUGAUCGGCCACACUGGAACUGAGACACGGUCCAGACUCCUACGGGAGGCAGCAGUGGGGAAUUUUGCGCAAUGGGCUAACGCCUGACGCAGCAACGCCGCGUGGAGGAUGAAGGUCUUUGGAUUGUAAACUCCUGUCAGCAGGAAAAAGCGACUCAGGUUAAUACCCUGGGGAGUUGAUUGUACCUGCAGAGGAAGCCCCGGCUAACUCUGUGCCAGCAGCCGCGGUAAUACAGAGGGGGCAAGCGUUAUUCGGAAUUAUUGGGCGUAAAGGGCGCGUAGGCGGCUUUGCAAGUGGCGGGUGAAAUCCCUCGGCUUAACCGAGGAACUGCCUGCCAGACUGUGAGGCUUGAGACCGGGAGAGGUGAGUGGAAUUCCCAGUGUAGCGGUGAAAUGCGUAGAUAUUGGGAGGAACACCAGUGGCGAAGGCGGCUCACUGGACCGGAACUGACGCUGAGGCGCGAAAGCGUGGGGAGCAAACAGGAUUAGAUACCCUGGUAGUCC
rnacentral:rRNA from 1 species